UACGAAGGGUGCAAGCGUUGUUCGGAAUUACUGGGCGUAAAGCGCGCGUAGGCGGUCUACUAAGUCAGACGUGAAAGCCCUGAGCUUAACUCGGGAACGGCGUUUGAUACUGGUAGACUAGAGAUUCAGAGAGGUGAGUGGAAUUCCUAGUGUAGAGGUGAAAUUCGUAGAUAUUAGGAGGAACAUCAGUGGCGAAGGCGGCUCACUGGCUGAAUACUGACGCUAAGGCGCGAAAGCGUGGGGAGCAAAC
rnacentral:rRNA from 1 species